rnacentral:ncRNA from 1 species
GGCGCAGCACGUUUUUGCUGAGAGUACACCCGUCGAACCUGAUCCGGUUAAAACCGGCGGAGGGAUUUGAGAAAA